AAUGUGAUUACUGGGUCAUAUGGGAAUACUAUGUUUAGCUUUGCAAGAAACUGCCAAAUGUUUUCAGAGUGAUUACACUAUUUACAUUCCCACCAGCCAU
rnacentral:pre_miRNA from 1 species